rnacentral:rRNA from 1 species
UGCAAGUCGAACGAUGAUGCCCAGCUUGCUGGGUGGAUUAGUGGCGAACGGGUGAGUAACACGUGAGUAACCUGCCCCUGACUCUGGGAUAAGCGUUGGAAACGACGUCUAAUACUGGAUACGACUGCCGGCCGCAUGGUCUGGUGGUGGAAAGAUUUUUUGGUUGGGGAUGGACUCGCGGCCUAUCAGCUUGUUGGUGAGGUAAUGGCUCACCAAGGCGACGACGGGUAGCCGGCCUGAGAGGGUGACCGGCCACACUGGGACUGAGACACGGCCCAGACUCCUACGGGAGGCAGCAGUGGGGAAUAUUGCACAAUGGGCGAAAGCCUGAUGCAGCAACGCCGCGUGAGGGAUGACGGCCUUCGGGUUGUAAACCUCUUUUAGUAGGGAAGAAGCGAAAGUGACGGUACCUGCAGAAAAAGCACCGGCUAACUACGUGCCAGCAGCCGCGGUAAUACGUAGGGUGCAAGCGUUGUCCGGAAUUAUUGGGCGUAAAGAGCUCGUAGGCGGUUUGUCGCGUCUGCUGUGAAAUCCCGAGGCUCAACCUCGGGCUUGCAGUGGGUACGGGCAGACUAGAGUGCGGUAGGGGAGAUUGGAAUUCCUGGUGUAGCGGUGGAAUGCGCAGAUAUCAGGAGGAACACCGAUGGCGAAGGCAGAUCUCUGGGCCGUAACUGACGCUGAGGAGCGAAAGCGUGGGGAGCGAACAGGAUUAGAUACCCUGGUAGUCCACGCCGUAAACGUUGGGCGCUAGAUGUAGGGACCUUUCCACGGUUUCUGUGUCGUAGCUAACGCAUUAAGCGCCCCGCCUGGGGAGUACGGCCGCAAGGCUAACACUCAAAGGAAUUGACGGGGGCCCGCACAAGCGGCGGAGCAUGCGGAUUAAUUCGAUGCAACGCGAAGAACCUUACCAAGGCUUGACAUACACCGGAAACGGCC